GCACUGCUGAAGAGUCUUAAAAUAGGACGAAACGGCCGUCUAGUGC
rnacentral:hammerhead_ribozyme from 1 species